rnacentral:rRNA from 1 species
GACGAACGCUGGCGGCGUGCUUAACACAUGCAAGUCGAACGGAAAGGCCCUGCUUUUGUGGGGUGCUCGAGUGGCGAACGGGUGAGUAACACGUGAGUAACCUGCCCUUGACUUUGGGAUAACUUCAGGAAACUGGGGCUAAUACCGGAUAGGAGCUCCUGCUGCAUGGUGGGGGUGGUAAAGUUUCGGCGGUUGGGGAUGGACUCGCGGCUUAUCAGCUUGUUGGUGGGGUAGUGGCUUACAAAGGCUUUGACGGGUAGCCGGCCUGAGAGGGUGACCGGCCACAUUGGGACUGAGAUACGGCCCAGACUCCUACGGGAGGCAGCAGUGGGGAAUAUUGCACAAUGGGCGGAAGCCUGAUGCAGCAACGCCGCGUGCGGGAUGACGGCCUUCGGGUUGUAAACCGCUUUCGCCUGUGACGAAGCGUGAGUGACGGUAAUGGGUAAAGAAGCACCGGCUAACUACGUG